AGGGUCCAAACUCAAACCUAACAUUCUUGAGGUACUACAAGCCUUAGAAGAGAAGCCAUUUGCCAUAAAAUGUCCAAAAUACAUUUGAAGUGAUGAUCAUCAUCAAUGGCUUUGGGUGAAGGUUGUCUGUAAUUGCCAAGUCAACAUUUACCGAGCCAAUAUCUGGUGCCUCUCGCAAACUGAAGAAUAUAUAGAAAAACCAACAUUCAUCACAUUUGAUCUUGCAGCUACCAGACUUGUGUUGGACAAGGAGCCUUGCCCUAUAUUACUCAAACUGGAGUGGUGGAGGUAGAGUUCAGGGAUAUUUUCACUGUCGUGUUCUUCCAAGAAUUCCCUUAGAGUCUGGAGCAGAGCAAACCACCAGAAUAGUCUGCAAUGGAACCUUAGUUUUUUCUCAUGGAUAAUUUUGACAAUUUUAUUGUAUUAUUGUACA